rnacentral:rRNA from 1 species
ACGGGAGCAAGACUACAAGGAUCCCCUAGUAACUGCGAGUGAAGCGGGAAAAGCUCAAAUUUAAAAUCUGGCAGUCUUUGGCUGUCCGAGUUGUAAUCUAGAGAAGCGUUAUCCGCGCUGGACCGUGUACAAGUCUCCUGGAAUGGAGCGUCAUAGAGGGUGAGAAUCCCGUCUUUGACACGGACUGCCAGGGCUUUGUGAUGCGCUCUCAAAGAGUCGAGUUGUUUGGGAAUGCAGCUCAAAAUGGGUGGUAAAUUCCAUCUAAAGCUAAAUAUUGGCGAGAGACCGAUAGCGAACAAGUACCGUGAGGGAAAGAUGAAAAGAACUUUGGAAAGAGAGUUAAACAGUACGUGAAAUUGCUGAAAGGGAAACGCUUGAAGUCAGUCGCGUUGUCCAGGGAUCAACCUUGCUUUUGCUUGGUGCACUUUCUGGUUGACGGGUCAGCAUCAAUUUUGACCGUUGGAAAAAGGUCAGGGGAAUGUGGCAUCUUUGGAUGUGUUAUAGCCCUUGGUUGCAUACAAUGGUUGGGAUUGAGGAACUCAGCACGCCGCAAGGCCGAGUAACUUGUUACUACGUACGUGCUUAGGAUGCUGGCAUAAUGGCUUUAAUCGACCCGUCUUGAAACACGGACCAAGGAGUCUAACAUGCCUGCGAGUGUUUGGGUGGAAAACCCGAGCGCGUAAUGAAAGUGAAAGUUGAGAUCCCUGUCGUGGGGAGCAUCGACGCCCGGACCAGACCUUUUGUGACGGUUCCGCGGUAGAGCAUGUAUGUUGGGACCCGAAAGAUGGUGAACUAUGCCUGAAUAGGGUGAAGCCAGAGGAAACUCUGGUGGAGGCUCGUAGCGAUUCUGACGUGCAAAUCGAUCGUCAAAUUUGGGUAUAGGGGCGAAAGACUAAUCGAACCAUCUAGUAGCUGGUUCCUGCGAGUUCCCCCCUCUCGAAAA